rnacentral:rRNA from 1 species
UACGGAGGGUGCGAGCGUUGUCCGGAAUCAUUGGGCGUAAAGGGUGCGUAGGCGGCGGGGCAAGUCUGAUGUGAAAUCCCGGGGCUCAACCCCGGAACUGCAUUGGAUACUGCCUUGCUUGAGUACUGGAGAGGGAACUGGAAUUUACGGUGUAGCAGUGAAAUGCGUAGAGAUCGUAAGGAAGGCCAGUGGCGAAGGCGAGUUCCUGGACAGUUACUGACGCUGAGGCACGAAGGCCAGGGGAGCAAACGGG